GAUGGUAGUGCUUUGGAGGAUUCUAGCACUUCAGGGGCAUCCUGUUCCAAGUCAAGACCACAUUUAGCUGGGACACAUACUUCUCUUAGACUUCCGCAGGAAGGAAAAGGAACCUGUAUUCUUGUAGGUGGUCAUGAAAUCACUUCUGGAUUAGAAGUAAUUUCUUCCCUAAGAGCAAUUCAUGGGUUGCAAGUAGAAGUUUGUCCUCUUAAUGGCUGUGAUUACAUCGUGAGUAAUCGCAUGGUGGUGGAAAGGAGGUCUCAAUCUGAGAUGUUAAAUAGUGUCAAUAAGAACAAGUUCAUUGAGCAGAUCCAGCACCUGCAGAGUAUGUUUGAAAGAAUAUGUGUGAUUGUGGAAAAGGACAGAGAAAAAACAGUUCCUGCCAAGAAGAAACCGCAGAUUUGCUAAAGGAACUGUCUUUAGUGGAACAAAGAAAGAAUGUUGGUAUUCAUGUUCCAACAGUGGUGAAUAGUAAUAAAAGUGAGGCACUCCAGUUUUAUUUAAGUAUUCCCAAUAUAAGUUAUAUAACUGCAUUAAAUAUGUGUCACCAGUUUUCAUCUGUGAAAAGGAUGGCUAACAGCUCACUUCAAGAAAUCUCCAUGUAUGCACAAGUAACUCAUCAGAAGGCUGAGGAGAUC
rnacentral:lncRNA from 1 species